GACGAACGCUGGCGGCGUGCUUAACACAUGCAAGUCGAACGGAAAGGCCCUGCUUUUGUGGGGUGCUCGAGUGGCGAACGGGUGAGUAACACGUGAGUAACCUGCCCUUGACUUUGGUAUAACUUCAGGAAACUGGGGCUACUACCGUAUAGGAGCUCCUGCUCCAUGGUGGGGGUUGGAAAGUUUCGGCGGUUGGGGAUGGACUCGCGGCUUAUGAGCUUGUUGGUUGGGUAGUGGCUUACCAAGGCUUGGACGGGUAGCCGGCCUGAGAGGGUGACCGGGCACAAUGGGACUGAGGGACGGCCCAGACUCCUACGGGAGGCAGCAGGGGGGAAUAUUGCACAAUGGGCGGAAGUCGGAUGCAGAAACGCCGCGUGCGGGAUGACGGCCUUCGGGGUGUAAACCGCUUUAGCCUGUGACGAAGCGUGAGUGACGGUAAUGGGUAAAGAAGCACCGGCUAACUACGUG
rnacentral:rRNA from 1 species